rnacentral:rRNA from 1 species
CCUACGGGAGGCAGCAGUAGGGAAUCUUUCACAAUGGGCGAAAGCCUGAUGGAGUAACGCCGCGUGCAGGAUGAGGGCCUUCGGGUUGUAAACUGCUUUUAUAAGCGAGAAAUAUGAUGGUAACUUAUGAAUAAGGAUCGGCUAACUACGUGCCAGCAGCCGCGGUCAUACGUAGGAUCCGAGCAUUAUCCGGAGUGACUGGGUGUAAAGAGUUGCGUAGGUGGCAUAAUAAGUAGCUAGUGAAAUCUGGUGGCUCAACCAUUCAGACUAUUAGCUAAACUGUUAAGCUCGAGACCGUUAGGGGUAACUGGAAUUUCUAGUGUAGGAGUGAAAUCCGUAGAUAUUAGAAGGAACACCAAUAGCGUAGGCAGGUUGCUGGGACGGUUCUGACACUAAGGCACGAAAGCGUAGGGAGCAAACGGGAUUAGAUACCCCGGUAGUC